UACAGUCUGCCGGACCUGGUCGACAACAAGGAGAAGACGGGAAACCCAACAGCACCGGUAAAGACACGGACUCGGGCAUAGGCGGAGGAAGCAGUCCGGAUAGGGACAAGGGCGGACAAAAUACACUAGGACCGUCGAACACUAUUCCAGCAGGGUCGAGCGAUGAUGUCGAUUACUUACGCGUUGUCUCCAGCAGGCCCGAUGAUAAAAAUAACCCAAGGAGGCGAGAACCAUCCUAUCUCGAUCUCAACGAUUCUUCUGGGACGACCAUCAGGAAGUUCUUAGAACACACUAGAGCACGGUCUAAGGAGUCAUAGAGUGGCACUUCUAGAGCAACUGUCAUCACUACUACGACUACGGCUAACUACUACUACGACUACUACUACAACAAUCAUCACUACGACAAUUACAACUUACUACCACGAGAUAACUACUGUUAUCACCACUCCAUCUUCACGUUACACCCAGGACUACCUCGCUCUCGUUGUCCCGGAGGCAAACGACUGAAGAAGGUAUUUUACGCUGAUUCUUCGUCCAUUACUCUUCCAGUGGUCGAACUCAUUCAUGAAAAGUUGAUGGCAGGUAUGUAUGAUCCUUUGAAGUACCAGCUGGUAUGGUACUAGACUCUACGCGUAACCUGAUUAUUCCACCUGCAGUCAAUUGUAUUUUAUGAAUGGGAAUCACGCCCAAGCAGUAGUAAAAGGGUGAUAAUUAUGAGAUCGCUGAGAGGAGAGGGAGAGGGGGAAGGAGAAAGGUAGAAGGAGAGGGAGAAGGAGAAAGGUAGAGGGAAAGGGAGAAGGAGAAAGGUAGAGGGAGAGGGAGGAGAAAGGUAGAGGAAGAGGGAGAAGGAGAAGGGUAGAGGGAGAGGAAGAAUAGAAAAAAAAUAUCGAGAACGAAAAGAUGGCGUCUCAUUUACACAUUCUGUUCAAUAUACGUUGAUAACUACAGGCUGGAAAUAUCCAAAGUUGUUAUAUUUACAUAUAUUACAAUACAGUAAACCA